rnacentral:misc_RNA from 1 species
CAGAGUGCCCACGUUGUGCCUCUUUGCAAUGUUGUGCACCACCACGUAACUUUCUAUCACCAUUCUUUCUUUUCUUUUCGAUUUUUGUUCUUCAGUUUUACCCACACAGAAACACAGAGAGAAAAAGAGACGCAAAGAGGCUUUGGGUUAUUCUCCACUGUAGGCCUAGGGUUUUACUGUUGAACAGGGACACUCGAACAGAGAGGGAGAGUACACCAGCAAUAAACGGACACUGCACACGGUCCCUAUUUAGAGAAACAACAGUGCAUAACAACGCUGUCAUUCAACGACGAGACGUGUUUAUGCGACGGAGAAUAGUUCGACUUUGAGGCGUUCAGCGGUCAAAUCACCAGCGCUCGACUGCUGUCGUUUAUCCAUGAAACUACAUGUCGUUUAACCUUAAUGAGACUUUUUUUUUUGAGAAGUUGGUCGUAUUGUAGUUGCUUUGAUUGAAUUAAGGGGGUGUUUGAUUUACCUGUUAAGUGCAGUUGAUAGCUG